AGUGAAGUACUGUAAACUCAAUCUAGUAGUACCCUCACUUGAAGUGACUAUGCUGUAUGUGGUAUCCUUCUACGCAAUAUGGCCUGUUCUCUCCUGAACAAGAAACCAGUUCUUGGUAUUGCUUCACUGUAACUGCCAUUUUCCAUUGAUGAAUAUUCUACUCUUCUGCUGGGGAGAGUAAGAGAUGAGAACACAGUCUUGGGGGG
ensembl:snoRNA U3 Small nucleolar RNA U3